CUCGAAGCUAAAAGGCCAGCUUGCGAUUCUGCUUGGAGGCUACUCAGACUCUCUACUGCCAUGAUGAGGCCACACACAAGUUGGAGGAGCAACACCUUACAUUCCGUCUGGAUGCUGCCUGGCCUACUGAGUUCCUCCAGCACCUUGUGUGUAUUACUUUGAUUUCCAGCAUCUGCAGGUUUUCUCUUGUUUGUGUAUUGAAAUAAAUGAUGUCAUGGCGACCAUCGAAACUGUAUUGAGUUACCAUUGACCUUAAGGGUGUAAAAAUGUGAUGUACCUUGAGUUUAAAGGGACUCCUCUUCCAAGAGUGUCUCCAGUAUGAUACCUGCUUGUUUUGCUGAAUAAAGACUUCUAU